UACGUAGGGGGCAAGCGUUGUCCGGAUUUAUUGGGCGUAAAGAGCGUGUAGGCGGCCAGGUAGGUCUGCUGUGAAAACUCGAGGCUCAACCUCGAGAUGUCGGCGGAAACCAUCUGGCUAGAGUCCGGAAGAGGAGAGUAGAAUUCCUGGUGUAGCGGUGAAAUGCGCAGAUAUCAGGAAGAACACCAAUGGCGAAAGCAGCUCUCUGGGACGGUACUGACGCUGAGACGCGAAAGCGUGGGGAGCGAACAGG
rnacentral:rRNA from 1 species